CCUAGUACGAGAGGACCGGAGUGGACGAACCUCUGGUGUUCGGGUUGUGUCGCCAGACGCAUUGCCCGGUAGCUAAGUUCGGAAUUGAUAAGCGCUGAAAGCAUCUAAGCGCGAAGCGAGCGCUGAGAUGAGUCUUCCCUGACGGUUUAACCGUCCGAAAGGGUUGUUCGAGACUAGAACGUUGAUAGGCAGGGUGUGUAAGCGUUGUGAGGCGUUGAGCUAACCUGUACUAAUUGCCCGUGAGGCUUAACCAUACAACACCCAAGGGGUUUUGUA
rnacentral:rRNA from 1 species